rnacentral:tRNA from 1 species
GAUUCAUUGGCUCAGAGGCAGAGCAUCUUGUCUUUUAAACUGAAAGCCGCUGUUUCGAUUCCAGCAUGUUACU